UUGACCUCGAAUCAGGUAGGGAUACCCGCUGAACUUAAGCAUAUCAAUAAGCGGAGGAAAAGAAACCAACCGGGAUUACCUCAGUAACGGCGAAUGAAGCGGUAACAGCUCAAAUUUGAAAUCUGGCUCCCUGCGGAGUCCGAGUUGUAAUUUGUAGAAGAUGCUUUGGGUGCGUGGCCCGGUCUAAGUUCCUUGGAACAGGACGUCGUAGAGGGUGAGAAUCCCGUAUGCGGCCGGGGCGCCUGCCCGUGUAAAGCUCUUUCGACGAGUCGAGUUGUUUGGGAAUGCAGCUCAAAAUGGGUGGUAAAUUUCAUCUAAAGCUAAAUAUGGGCCAGAGACCGAUAGCGCACAAGUAGAGUGAUCGAAAGAUGAAAAGCACUUUGGAAAGAGAGUUAAACAGUACGUGAAAUUGUUGAAAGGGAAGCGCUUGCAACCAGACUUGGGCGUCGCUGAUCAUCCAAAGUUUUCUUUGGUGCACUCGGCGAGGCACAGGCCAGCAUCGGUUGGGGUGGUGGGAGAAAGGUCGUGGGAACGUAGCUCCUUUCGGGGAGUGUUAUAGCCUGCGACGCAAUACCGCCUACUCCGACCGAGGACCGCGCUUCGGCUAGGAUGCUGGCGUAAUGGUUGUAAGCGACCCGUCUUGAAACACGGACCAAGGAGUCUAACAUCUAUGCGAGUGUUUGGGUGCAAAACCCAUACGCGUAAUGAAAGUGAACGUAGGUGAGAACCCUUCGAGGGGGCAUCAU
rnacentral:rRNA from 1 species